AUUGAACGCUUGCGGCAGGCCUAACACAUGCAAGUCGAACGAGUGGCGGACGGGUGAGUAAUGUCUGGGAAACUGCCCGAUGGAGGUGGAUAACUACUGGAAACGGUAGCUAAUACCGCAUACCAUCGGAUGUGCCCAGAUGGGAUUAGCUAGUAGGUGGGGUAACGGCUCACCUAGGCGACGAUCCCUAGCUGGUCUGAGAGGAUUACCGGCCACACUGGAACAGAGACACGGUCCAGACUCCUACGGGUGGCAGCAGUGGGGAAUAUUGCACAAGGGGCGCAAGCCUGAUGCAGCCAUGCCGCGUGUAUGAAGAAGGCCUUCGGGUUGUAAAGUACUUUCAGCGGGGAGGCGUUACUCGCAGAAGAAGCACCGGCUAACUCCGUGCCAGCAGCCGCGGUAAUUC
rnacentral:rRNA from 1 species